rnacentral:rRNA from 1 species
CCAGACUCCUACGGGAGGCAGCAGUGAGGAAUAUUGGUCAAUGGGCUAAGGCCUGAACCAGCCAAGUCGCGUGAGGGAAGACGGUCCUAUGGAUUGUAAACCUCUUUUGUCGGGGAGCAAAAGACGCCACGCGUGGCGUUCCGAGAGUACCCGAAGAAAAAGCAUCGGCUAACUCCGUGCCAGCAGCCGCGGUAAUACGGAGGAUGCGAGCGUUAUCCGGAUUUAUUGGGUUUAAAGGGUGCGUAGGCGGAACGCAAGUCCGGCGGGAAAGUCGGGGGGCCAACCCCCGGUCCGCCGUGGAAACUGGCGUUCUUGAGUGGGCGAGAAGUAUGCGGAAUGCGUGGUGUAGCGGUGAAAUGCAUAGAUAUCACGCAGAACUCCGAUUGCGAAGGCAGCAUGCCGGCGCCCAACUGACGCUGAAGCACGAAAGCGUGGGUAUCGAACAGGAUUAGAUACCCCAGUACA